ensembl:lncRNA
AUUUUCCUUAAGUCAAACUGCCCAGUUACACCUCGAGUUUGCCUUUGCUCAUUCCCUCUGCUUAUUCCACAUAGUGGAUUUCCAGGGUAGGAGGGAACAUGCAGCACUACUGCUGCUGUCUGCUGCAUAAACAACGAAGAGGAUGGGAAGAGGAGAUCCAAGAGAAACAUCUUACCUAUGCAAGUGGUGCUACCACACUCUGAACCAAUAAUAUGUAACAGUGAAACAAGUCUGCAGUUUCACAAGCUCAUCUCACCAAGGACUGAAGAAGAGACACUCCAAAGAUUCAGGAAUAAGUCUGCAGAAAUAUGACACCCAAUUAUUUAAGGUAAAGAAAGUGCUAAUUUUUUAAACAUUCUACUGCUACACUGCUGAUCCCAAGACUGUUUCACUUCUUUGGUCCUCGCUCAUGUUUACCCUCCUCCUAAACUUCAGACCAACACUCUCCAAGCAGUUGAAGGAAAGAGCAAGGCAAGUAAAGCUACAACACUUUGAUGACUGCUGCCAAUAAACUUCAUUUGUUUUCUGCUUUUUUCUUACCU